UACGUAGGGUGCAAGCGUUGUCCGGAAUUAUUGGGCGUAAAGGGCUCGUAGGCGGCUUGUCAAGUCUGCUGUGAAAUUUCGGGGCUCAACCCCGAACUUGCAGUGGGUACGGGCAGGCUAGAGUGUGGUAGGGGAGACUGGAAUUCCUGGUGUAGCGGUGAAAUGCGCAGAUAUCAGGAGGAACACCGAUGGCGAAGGCAGGUGACUGGGCAGUAACUGACGCUGAGGAGCGAAAGCGUGGGGAGCGAACAGG
rnacentral:rRNA from 1 species